CCUGGUGACUAUUGUGAGGGGGACACACCCGUUCCCAUUCCGAACACGGAAGUUAAGCCCCUCAACGCCGAUGGUACUGCCUUCGUGGUGGGAGAGUAGGUCGUCGCCAGGC
rnacentral:rRNA from 1 species